UGGCUCAGUGGUUAAGAGCACUGAAUUGCUCUUCCAGAGAUCCUGAGUUCGAUUCCCAG
rnacentral:tRNA from 1 species